UUUUCGCCAAAAUGUCUACAAUCCAAUUCACGGGAUGUCCCACACAUAAAAAUUGCAAAAAAACUCAGGAUUUUUAAUUUAGAAGUGUUGAAUUAAUUUUAAAUAGUUAAGGAUGACUUAAGAUUUCUUGUUUUUUAUUUUACUUAUGAGAAAAUUAACCCAAAGUUCCAAAAUUUAAUCCUGAAAACUGACAUCUUACGGAUUGCAGUACUGUCCCCUUUUCGAAAUGUGAUCUUUAUUUAACAAUUUCUCAGCAAUUUCGCUAUUUAUUACUUACUGCAAACGUUUAAAUUAUUGUAAUUUCGUUGUAGUUUUCAAGUGUAAUAAACUCAUAAUACAUUUUAAUACAAUUAUAUUAUUUAAAAUUAGUUUUAAUCGUGUCCCCUUGGUAUCUGUUAACUGGACAUGUCCUGCACCGUUACCGUAAAUGCUCAAUAAUUUCGUUCGGUUUUUUUUCUACCUUCCACAAUUUUUUUAUACAAAUAGCAACACCAAAUCGAACACGAGCUAUGUCAGCAACCAUUUGAAGUGUCAGCCGUUUUAGCGUUCAUUUUUGACAGUGUUGUGAGCGGUAACGGUCAUUUUGCAAAGUUUUCACCUCAUACUGAGCGGUACUUAUAAAAAUGGCACAUACCGCUGCCGAAAAAAUUAAGCGGUAUAGGGAACGAAUAAAAAGUGAUCCCCAAAAAUAUGAAGAGUAUCGUAAGAAAAAUAUAGACCGACUUAAACAAAAGCGCAAGAAGAUUUUGAUUUUUUUUGAAGUUAAAUGAAACAGCAUUUUUGGUGCUAUAAUUGUGAUUUUAGACGCCUAGACACAAUAGAUUUUCUAUUGUGUCUGUGAUUCCGGGGGCUGAGGGAUUAAGAACAACUUUUUAUACUAAGUGAAAAUUUUAAAACCUAAGCUCGUUUUAAAAACAAUUAUAGACUGAAUUGUUGAUUUUUGAUCUCAUGUAAACAUGUGCCUUAAAUAAUACCUAAUGUAAUGAAAGUCAAAUAAAAAUGAUGAAAAGUAAGGUAA